UUUCAGGAUAUUCAAGAACAUUUAAAUAUAAACCUUGAUAAACAUGUUCAGUGUCACAAAGUAUUAAUUUCACUUGUUGUGUAAGCAUACAUAAAAGCAGAAAUGUGGUCCUGAAGCACAGAACGCGUGAAAAAUAGCACGGGUGCAUGGUAUGGCUCAAAAUCAUUUAGAUAUCAAUCCUAAUGUUGUAUCCUAACAAACUAUACAUCAUGUAUAAAUCUCAUUUCAUUUUUUUAAUUGUUCAUGACUGGUUUCGUGGUCACAAAUACCAUGGCAUCAGAACGAUAGAUAGAAACAUCAGUUAAUAAUGACUUCCAUUAUGUUUUUCCUAGUGAAGUCCGUUCAGGUGUAAUGACAGACGGACUACGGGUGAAAACUUCACCUCCAGGAGCCCCGCUCGCGUCUUUUGACCUACCAGGAAAAGUGUCUAGGCUUCUCAGAAGUGUGCUGAUAGCUGCGGACUCUUCGAGCAGAUGUCAAAACACCCGGCCCGUGCCUCAGAUAUCUGCGUGGUAACAACGUUUGUGACGUCAGUCCCUGCGUUCUGUCAUUUCCACAGCAGAACCCAGUCAUUUCAAGCACAGCUGCAAUGGACUCGCUUCACGAAUGCUCUACGUGUUACGUUUGUUUCCUUCAGGCGCUGUUUUUCGUGUAGUAUUUAAGGGGAGGGAGUUGUUCGCUAAUCGUGUUGUUUCAUACAGAAGUUGUGCGAUGAUCAGACUCAUCACACGCUCAUGCCUGGAGGACUGUGACCUCUGCGUGAACAUCGUCCUCUAUUUAAAGCUACUACAAUAAAUAGGAGUGUGCGAAUAAACUCGUACACAAACGGACGUGUGCAAGCGUGUUUGUUCCCUUUGUUUGGCAGUAUUUGAUGAGGUGAGUCUGACUCACAUGUGCCUGUGCUAACAAGCUUCCUGAUGCUGCUGAUACUGGACAGAGGGAUGGAAAGAGGAAGCGGCUCAUUAGAACAUGGGAUCGGAGGCAGUAGAACGUUUCUGAUUACGCUUUCAGACACUUAAAAUGUUCGGCUUAUUAGAAAAAUGUGCCUGUGGGGACAGUUCUUCUAGCACUACGAAAUGUCAGUUCAUAUCCGACGGCGUUUUAUGUUGAUUUUGAAUGCAUGCUUCAGUUCGGAAAUUAAAGUUCUGCUGAUUGAUUGGUUUAUAAUGGAUUGAUUUAAAAAAGAAUAUCCAUACAUCCAGCAAUUAGCACUUUUGGUUUAUUGUAAGAAAACACUGAAGUUGUUUUGAAGCUGAAGCUGCGACUUUAAAUGCUUACGGUCGUUGAACAGCAUUUGUCAUCUUUUUAUAUCAAAAUGCUUGCUACAAAUUCAAGAACACAGAAGAUCAAACCUGAUCGGAUUUUUUUUAAUGACGGACAAAUGUUUCAGAGGCAGUGUAUAAAAGUGAUUGACUCAACAUGAGCUUUUAACGCAUGAAAAGUUUGGACAAAAAUGAAGUAUGCAGUCAAAGGAGUCUUCCUUUGUUCAUUACGGUGUGGACUAUAGUAUCUUUAUAGCUAUCUUCCUUGGCGUGCGCAGGCCCGUGUUCAGUGAAAAGUCUCAAAAGUGAGAAUGCUAAAACUUUAAUUGAUAGUAGUUUUUUCGAUUCUGCUUUUUCCCCUCACGCAAACGAUUAUAUAUAACAUGAGUUAAAAUUAGGCACUACUUUUAUGUUUCCAAGUUCAGUGUGAACUUUUGUUGUAUGGAGAAGAGCAGCUAAGAUUCGUGCAGCGGCCCCAGUGAAUAAAUGAUGACAGAACUUUGGCAGGUUUGGGACGAGCGCAUAUUUCACAGUCCGUCAGCUGUUAUCUCAUUUUCCAUUACCGGACAAUGAGGGAUUCUUGGGUCAUGUGAGGGGUUUUCCACAAGAAAGUAUGGGAGGCCAGGUGUCUGGGCAUAGAGGAGAUGUGUCAGCUAGGACUAUAUCUGUCGUGGCUAUUGGGUCAGGAUUACAACAGUCUCUGUGUGUGUGUGUGUGUGUGUGUGUGUGUGUGUGUACAGGGGGCUGUUUUAGGAUCUUGGGAGACCCAUGAACGACCACAGGUGCUCCUCAGGUGGGCUUUAACACAAGGCUGUCGUUACUACCCAAUUACUCCAUCAGAAACUGCCAGCACUAGACUGCCGUUAGCACUUGAUGUUCUCAAAAUAGCCUUUUUGUACUCCAAUUGGUCAAUAUAGCACAGUUUUCUAAUUUCAUUCAAACUAAUAAGUGCUGAGUUUGUGGAAGUAUGCGUGGUUUGAGCUGCGUCCUCCAGUGCUUCUCUGAACCAAAUCCGUGCAGGAAUGCAGUUCCCCUCGGUCUGAAGAUUGAAUCUGUCCUGUUCGUCCUCAUGGGGGUGUCAAAGAGGAGAAUAUGAAUAUUCGAGGCCUCAUCCGUCAAGACCAACAAGGUGCCAAGGGUUCAGUGUGAGGCUAUGGGGCAUGAUGGAUAAGACUGGACACCGGAUCGUCCUCUCUUUUGUUUCUGCUGGAGAGGGGAAGCAGAUUCCAGCCCUGCAAUUCACCCUCAACUGCUGCUUUCCUCUGCCAAAUCACUGCAGCUUCCACAAGCGCUGGUGUCACAUGGGAUGCAAACACGUCCAGAUGUCUUGGACUGAGUCUAACUUGGUUUAUAAAUCACAGCAACAUUCAGUCAGACUUGUGUUUCUCAGUUUGUUCUGUCACUGCAGUUUACAAAAAAUGUAAAUAAUGUCAUUAUUUACUUUAUAUACUUUAUAUAAUUUCUAAUUUGUGCCAGUGGUUAGAAGGUCAUCAAGUUUGGACGGACACGAGGGUGAGUAAAAGAGUGACCUGUCCGUUUAACGUUGCUGUGUGUUUGUCUUUAUCUCAUAUUUUUACAUGAUUCCUGCUCUUCUCAUCAUUCUUGUGGUCUUUCGUCACUGGAUUAUGGGUGUGACGCUGAGUCGUACUCUACAGCAUGAUUAGUUUAGCAGGAUGUUCAGUUCCUGUGUGUGUGUGUGUGUGUGUGUGUGUGUGUGUGUGUGUCCAGCUGGCCCAUGCUGACCCACACCUCUCAUUUUCCCAGCACUGAGUCCAGGCUCCGUCCACAGCUGCAUACUGGCCUCUCGCUGCUGCCCGAUGCAAACCAACGGUCACUUAGCAUUUCAUCACUUGAUUCGCUCCGUAGAAAAACCCUGGGAGACCCGACGAUAAACUACAGAACACAUUCUGUGUGGAUCCUCUAAAGUCAGUUGCAAAAGAACCUUUUCACCAUAGAAGAUACUGUCUCGAUGGCAUUUUUCGCCGUAUUGACGUCUACAAAUGAAAGUUAAAGUUCCCACAGUCACCGCCACCAUUUUCCCCUAAAUUUUUUUUGAUUGCCUUUCUCCCAGGAGACAGUAAAUUAUGCAUUACGCCAGAUCGUUCCAUAACGAGUCAUAUUUUAACAAGACACUGAUGUAUAGAGCCUGUGUUUCUGACAGUAUCUCUGCUGCUAUUACUCAGGACACACCCCCCCUCUGCUCAUGUGCAUUCCUGCAGGAGAUCGCUGACAUCACUGACCCGCUUCGGAGUCGUGACCUUUAACCUCGAAGGACAAGUGGACUAAAAUCGACCGAGCUUUUUUCAUUUUUUCCUACACUGGGUGUAUCAUACCAGUACUCGCUUGAACUGUGAGAAAAGCAUGCUCAUACUGCGCACGCAAAUAAUUCCCAGUACGCCCCAUUGUAAACCGAGAGCAAAUGUUUCAGAAAUCUAAAGAAGGCGCGCAGCUCUGAAUGAAGUUCUUUGAUACAGCGUGCGUGUAAAGUGGCCGGGUGUGUAACGAGACUCAUUAGUGUGUAAUGAUGCAGAACCUGAAGUCUGGAACGUUUCAGUUCUCUUUCUGUGAAUUUACACAAUGAUGCUUUACGAUGCCAGAAUUUGAUUUAUUUUCAUUAGUUGCCUAUUAUGGACGUUGUAGACAAAGGACAGUUGAACAGGUAUAUCCCUCAACCUCAAUUUCAUUCAAUCGCAUGAAAUUGCUAUUUUUCAUUUGGAUGAACGAUUAAUAUGAUGUGUGCAUUAGGAAAACAGGCUAAGUCAGGUUUUAGUUUCAUGUUGAUUUGAAAUAGAAUUUUUGGUUAAAUUAUGAUCAGUUCUAACUGCUUAAGUAUAAAAGAAGUGCGGAAAUAUGCCUAUGUGCGUUUCUUGAAACACAAAGCUGGUGCUGCCGUGCCCCGUUCAUUGACCAGAGAGUAAAUACGACACAAGCAGUGCCUUAUUUAUUGAAGUAACAUGCACUAUCAAGUCUGCAUGUCCUGUCCUGAGUAACUUUAGUAUUAGGAAACACUGUGCCCACGUUUAUCCCUGGACUCCGUUCUGCAUGCCUGCAGGUCAUGUUGCGCAGAUCACAGCAUCAUGUGAUCGCCAGAGACAUUUUUACAUCUUUUGAAACGGUUACUGCGGCUCCAAUGCUGAAAGUUACUCCGCUGGAUGUGGCGGUUAAUAUAUAAAGAGAAGAUCAUGGAGACAGCAAGCCGUAAUGUUGACUUUGAUAUUUGUUUUAUUCGAGAAUAUAAAAUCUUUGAAAUCUUGCAUAGCGUUUAUUUCCUCAUAGCAUAGUCUUUUUAGCCUAUAGGCAUCAUUCCUGGAUCGGCGGACUGUUCUUUUAGGUUUAGUUCUUUUAUUAGUAAUCUUCCGCCUGCCGGUUUAUAUGCGGAGUCAUUUGUGCGGUGGAAAACAUCGCGCACGACUCAUAAAUCUGGGCAAGUCAGAACAGGGCAAGUGGCGUAUCUGGAGAAGUGGCGGAGGUGAAGCCAGAGGAAAGACUGAGCAUCUGUCUCUUUUGUUUGAGGAGAACCAGCUCUGCACAUGGCCGUUACUCACUGCGUCGAGGUGGGCGGUAAUAAGACAAGGUCAGCGCACGCCCCGUCCCUGCAGGCGUGCAGAUGCUGAGGCCCUCAGGUGUCCUGACACAGGCGUGGGCUGAAAGCAGACCUUUUAACGCUGCUAUCAAA